rnacentral:rRNA from 1 species
GCCAUGCCGCGUGCAGGAAGAAGGCUUUCUGAGUCGUAAACUGCUUUUGACAGGGAAGAAUAAGCUGGUCGUGACCAGUGAUGACGGUACCUGCAGAAUAAGCACCGGCUAACUCCGUGCCAGCAGCCGCGGUAAUACGGAGGGUGCGAGCGUUGUCCGGAUUUAUUGGGUUUAAAGGGUGCGUAGGCGGCCCGUUAAGUCCGGGGUGAAAGCCCACUGCUCAACAGUGGAACUGCCCUGGAUACUGACGGGCUUGAGUACAGACGAGGUUGGCGGAAUGGACUGAGUAGCGGUGAAAUGCAUAGAUACAGUCCAGAACCCCGAUUGCGAAGGCAGCUGACUAGGCUGUUACUGACGCUG